UCUUACAUUUACUAAACAAAAUUACAUCAUGAUGAUUAAGAAUGGAAUAUUUAAGCAGAGUUGGGCUUGGUUAGUACUUGGAUGAAAGUCCUCCUGGGAAUCCCAGGUGCUGUAGGCU
rnacentral:rRNA from 1 species